ensembl:lincRNA
CUCUGCGGGCUCGCGCCGCGGCCAGCUGCCCCUCCCCGCCCGGGGUUGCCAACGCGACGCGUGCGGGCGCGGGCCGCAGAGGGCCACGCGGGGCAAUUUCUUAACUGGAGUGGCCCAUCGGUCACCCUAGGGAGGAGAGGGUCGGCGCCGUGAGGUUCAGGUUUUGCCUGCACCAUGUCCGGCAAAGCUGAGAAGAAGCGGCGAGUGGGUGGCAAGGGCGGCAGCCGGGGCAGCCGGGCAGGGCGAGCUGCUCAAGCCACCAAGGCAGCCCUGGCCAUCCAGUCUGAGGAGAACAUCCAGCUGGAAGAGCCCCCACCAGAGCUGGAACCAGCGCCCCAGGUGGAGGCGCAGCUGCUCCAGGAGGAGCAUGAGUCAGAAUUUAACCAAUCGGCAGUACCAAAAGAACCAUUAGAGGAACCUCAGGAGGAUGUGGUAGGUCCGAGGGUCUUCACGGAGACAAAUAUUCCUCCCCAGUAACGGCGAAUCAAAGGAUCAAUUGUAGAAUGGUGUAUAAGGAAUUUGCUCUAAUCUGUCUCUUCCUUCUGCUUCCUCUCUACUGGUAACCUACUCACCCCAAAUCCAGUUCUUUGGGUAAAGGACAGUCAUCUGGAUCCCCCACCCCUUCAUGACAGGAACAGAUCUCCUAGCUUUCCCUCCCCUGUCCCCCCACCCUCGGGUCCAAUCACGAUGAACUUUUGUCGGUUGUUUUAAUCUCUGAACAAGUUGAACAAGCUGGGCAGCUAUUGUCUUAAUUGGAUGCUAAUUUCUCAGACCUAUUCUUUCCUCCUUUCUUUUGGCUCUCUCUGCUGAAGAAUUUACAGAAGGCACUUCCUUGAGAAAGUGACACUAAUGACCCUACACCUUUAGUUCCGAGUUGCCUCAGAGCCUAGCCAUUCCCAUGGUUACCUGGCCCAGAACAGUAAAUAGAGCCGUGACCUUGAAAUUUAGGAAAAGGGACAGAAAAAUAAUAACUACUCAUUAAAGAAAAAAAUGAAAAAGAGAAAAAUAAAAAAAGAAAGGGCAAAAAACCAAACAAACAAAAAACAAACCACCCUUAUAGCAUUAUCACUUAGACAUACCCAAUAUUAAAAUUAUGGUAUGUGUCUUUUCUUUCUGUACAUAGGUUUACAAGUUUUUUUUUCCUCCUUAUUAAAUAGGCUUUUUUUUUUCUUACACACCUUCUAAAGUAAACAUGGCAGUACAGGUGUAGCGCAGUGCUUGAGUGCCUACUUUGCAUGUAUGAGGUCCCAGGUUCAAUCCCUGGUACCUCCUAAAAACAAACAAACAAAAACAACAAUAUAAAGUAGACAUGACAAAGUGUUCACAAAACUAGGGGCUAUGUAUGUACUGCAUUACGUGUUACUUUUGAAAGAAAAAGUAAAAAGAAAAAUUAAAAAGCCUAAUUUCAGACUAUGGCUAAAAACCUUGGCUCUGUCAUUUAUAAGCUCUCUAAACUUACGCGAGUUAUUUAACUUCUCUAAGCUUUAUUUGCUUUACUUACUAAGUUUACAUUCUGUACUUGUCUGGUAAUUUUCAUAUGGGAUCAUCUUUGUGAUUCUGAUUUUGGGAGAUUUUAAAAAAACAUUACUCCAACUGUACCAUAUACUACAAUUUUGUAUUAAGCUUUUUCACAAAACAUUUUAUCAUUCUUUAUGUUAUUAUAUACUUUUUGUAAACACCAUUUUUAACGGCCAUGUAAAGUUCUACCAGACAUAUGUACCAUAAAUCAUCACUCUUUAAAAAUCAUUACUUUGGGACAUUUAGCCAUUUUUAAGAUUUUGAACCGAAAGGGUAAACACUUUGAUACAUUUUUAACACUUUUGAUACAUAAUUCAAAGGGAUUGUGAUUUUUACAAUCUUACUAAAAACAAAUGCUUUCCAGG